UGGGUCCAUUCCCCCCGAACCGAUGAAUUGUAGGAGUCAAGCUGUUCCCGGCCAACAAGAAUCUAGAGCCCAAACUGUGCUAGCUUCAGCAAGGCUACAAUUCUAUGGCACUUCCUGCCUCAGCUGCCUGCCAGCCCUGUUAGACAUUUCCCCAUACUACAUAACCUCUCAGGAAGUGCUUGAUUCCACCUUGGGAACACUCCAUGCUAAAGCAAGCAAGAGAAAUAUUAGCACUUUUUCUAUCCCACUGGAUUGUAAAACAGCACUGAAGUAAAAUCCCCCAAAGAACAAUAUGGCAUUUUUAAAAAGAUCCCCAUCCUUAGCAACACUCAGUGGAGAUGAACUUGACCCAAUGAGGCACCAUCCAAGAGGCACCCUUCACACCACAGCUACUGCAGAUUUUUCUAUUCACUGGCCAACAGCAGUAAGUUUUUAAUUUAUUACAGUAAAAGACACAUUGCCGUUAGGUCCCCUCAAAAAUCCUCCCACUUAUUUGGGACACGCUCAUCCCAUCAUCCUUGCCACUUUCAGAAGCGGUGCUGGGAGUUCUCUCUGGUGAGUGUCUUUACAGAGUGCGGUUUAAAAAAACUUCUAGUGAAUGCUGUUGAUUCCAACAGCAAAACCUUACGGUGUGUCUUCCUCCACCUCGCUCACCAGAUCUGGCACCAUGCAAUUUUGGAUCUUCCUCAAAAUGGCCAUGAAGAGGAUAGCCAGUCCAGUCCAAAACAUUCUGAAUCCACUCAGGACAUCACGGUAGCCACUGUGGUGGCCGUGACAGCACAGCGAAGACACUCACAAAGGAGGACUUGCAGAACUGCUUCAGAAAGUGGCAAGAAGUACAAGUGUGCCUGAGGUUCCUUCUCCACACCUCCUGGCUUUAUACUGAAGUCUCAGCUAGAAGACCAGGCUCACUGUCAGCUCAGCCCGCUUCAUCUUCAAACCCAGACUGGAGCCCUUUAGCAAGACAGUGGUGGUGUCUGGAAAUACCACAGGGCACCGUCUUGUUGGUUCCUUUUCGUGAUCCUAACAGCUGUUUAUACUCGGUAAUGCCUGACGCCAAACACUGGGCAAAGCAAAAGGGUGACACCAU
rnacentral:lncRNA from 1 species